AGAGUUUGAUCAUGGCUCAGAUUGAACGCUGGCGGCAGGCCUAACACAUGCAAGUCGAACGGUAACAGGAAGCAGCUUGCUGCUUCGCUGACGAGUGGCGGACGGGUGAGUAAUGUCUGGGAAGCUGCCUGAUGGAGGGGGAUAACUACUGGAAACGGUAGCUAAUACCGCAUAAUGUCGCAAGACCAAAGAGGGGGACCUUCGGGCCUCUUGCCAUCGGAUGUGCCCAGAUGGGAUUAGCUUGUUGGUGGGGUAACGGCUCACCAAGGCGACGAUCCCUAGCUGGUCUGAGAGGAUGACCAGCCACACUGGAACUGAGACACGGUCCAGACUCCUACGGGAGGCAGCAGUGGGGAAUAUUGCACAAUGGGCGCAAGCCUGAUGCAGCCAUGCCGCGUGUAUGAAGAAGGCCUUCGGGUUGUAGAGUACUUUCAGCGGGGAGGAAGGGAGUAAAGUUAAUACCUUUGCUCAUUGACGUUACCCGCAGAAGAAGCACCGGCUAACUCCGUGCCAGCAGCCGCGGUAAUACGGAGGGUGCAAGCGUUAAUCGGAAUUACUGGGCGUAAAGCGCACGCAGGCGGUUUGUUAAGUCAGAUGUGAAAUCCCCGGGCUCAACCUGGGAACUGCAUCUGAUACUGGCAAGCUUGAGUCUCGUAGAGGGGGGUAGAAUUCCAGGUGUAGCGGUGAAAUGCGUAGAGAUCUGGAGGAAUACCGGUGGCGAAGGCGGCCCCCUGGACGAAGACUGACGCUCAGGUGCGAAAGCGUGGGGAGCAAACAGGAUUAGAUACCCUGGUAGUCCACGCCGUAAACGAUGUCGACUUGGAGGUUGUGCCCUUGAGGCGUGGCUUCCGGAGCUAACGCGUUAAGUCGACCGCCUGGGGAGUACGGCCGCAAGGUUAAAACUCAAAUGAAUUGACGGGGGCCCGCGCAAGCGGUGGAGCAUGUGGUUUAAUUCGAUGCAACGCGAAGAACCUUACCUGGUCUUGACAUCCACGGAAGUUUUCAGAGAUGAGAAUGUGCCUUCGGGAACCGUGAGACAGGUGCUGCAUGGCUGUCGUCAGCUCGUGUUGUGAAAUGUUGGGUUAAGUCCCGCAACGAGCGCAACCCUUAUCCUUUGUUGCCAGCGGUCCGGCCGGGAACUCAAAGGAGACUGCCAGUGAUAAACUGGAGGAAGGUGGGGAUGACGUCAAGUCAUCAUGGCCCUUACGACCAGGGCUACACACGUGCUACAAUGGCGCAUACAAAGAGAAGCGACCUCGCGAGAGCAAGCGGACCUCAUAAAGUGCGUCGUAGUCCGGAUUGGAGUCUGCAACUCGACUCCAUGAAGUCGGAAUCGCUAGUAAUCGUGGAUCAGAAUGCCACGGUGAAUACGUUCCCGGGCCUUGUACACACCGCCCGUCACACCAUGGGAGUGGGUUGCAAAAGAAGUAGGUAGCUUAACCUUCGGGAGGGCGCUUACCACUUUGUGAUUCAUGACUGGGGUGAAGUCGGAACAAGGUA
rnacentral:rRNA from 1 species